rnacentral:rRNA from 1 species
UUGGGAAUAUUGGACAAUGGGCGAAAGCCUGAUCCAGCAAUCCCGCGUGAGUGAAGAAGGCCUUCGGGUUGUAAAGCUCUUUUAUCAGGGAAGAAGGGAAACUUGACGGUACCUGAAGAAAAAGCACCGGCUAACUCCGUGCCAGCAGCCGCGGUAAUACGGAGGGUGCAAGCGUUGUUCGGAAUUAUUGGGCGUAAAGCGCGUGUAGGCGGUUGAUUAAGUCUGGUGUGAAAGCCCGGGGCCUAACCCCGGAAGUGCACUGGAUACUGAUCAGCUAGAGGACGAUAGGGGAGAGUGGAAUUCAUGGUGUAGGGGUGAAAUCCGUAGAUAUCAUGAGGAACAUCAGUGGCGAAGGCGGCUCUCUGGAUCGUUUCUGACGCUAAGACGCGAAAGCGUGGGG